rnacentral:rRNA from 1 species
UAGUGACAAUAGCGGAGAGGACCCACCCGUACCCAUCCCGAACACGGAAGUUAAGCUCUCCAGCGCCGAUGGUACUUGGGCAUAAGCCCUGGGAGAGUAGGUCGUUGCUA